rnacentral:rRNA from 1 species
UACGAAGGGGGCUAGCGUUGUUCGGAAUCACUGGGCGUAAAGGGCGCGUAGGCGGAUCGUUAAGUCAGGGGUGAAAUCCUGGAGCUCAACUCCAGAACUGCCUUUGAUACUGGCGAUCUUGAGUCCGGAAGAGGUGAGUGGAACUCCUAGUGUAGAGGUGGAAAUUCGUAGAUAUUAGGAAGAACACCAGUGGCGAAGGCGGCUCACUGGUCCGGUACUGACGCUGAGGUGCGGAAAGCGUGGGGAGCAAACAGGG